rnacentral:rRNA from 1 species
GGAUAUGACCUCAGGUUGCAUGACUUGGGGUGGAAAGAUUUAUCGGUGUAGGAUGGGCCCGCGGCCUAUCAGCUUGUUGGUGGGGUAAUGGCCUACCAAGCGACGACGGGUAGCCGACCUGAGAGGGUGACCGGCCACACUGGGACUGAGACACGGCCCAGACUCCUACGGGAGGCAGCAGUGGGGAAUAUUGCACAAUGGGCGAAAGCCUGAUGCAGCGACGCCGCGUGAGGGAUGACGGCCUUCGGGUUGUAAACCUCUUUCAGCAGGGACGAAGCGCAAGUGACUACCUGCAGAAGAAGCACCGGCUAACUACGUGCCAGCAGCCGCGGUAACGUAGGGUGCAAGCGUUGUCCGGAAUUACUGGGCGUAAAGAGUUCGUACGGUUUGUCGCGUCGUUUGUGAAAACCAGCAGCUCAACUGCUGGCUUAGGCGAUACGGGCAGACUUGAGUACU